GGGCCCGUGGCGCAGUACGGAUAGUUAAGACCCAUAAAGCGCGGCAGCCCCCUAAGCUGUAGGUCGUGGGUUCAAAUCCCACCGGGCCCG
rnacentral:tRNA from 1 species